UACGUAGGGUGCAAGCGUUGUUCGGAAUUAUUGGGCGUAAAGCGCGUGUAGGCGGCUUUGCAAGUCGGGUGUGAAAGCCCUCAGCUCAACUGAGGAAGUGCGUCCGAAACUGCAGAGCUUGAGUGCCGGAGAGGGUAGUGGAAUUUCCGGUGUAGCGGUGAAAUGCGUAGAUAUCGGAAGGAACACCAGUGGCGAAGGCGCUACCUGGACCGGUUCUGACGCUGAGGCGCGAAAGCGUGGGUAGCAAACAGG
rnacentral:rRNA from 1 species